UCCUUUCAAAAAUAAAAUAUGAAAUAUUGUGUAAUGUGGAAAUAAAGAGAAAAGACUCUGAAAUUCUCUGUUUCCAACAAAAGUUUAGUAACACAUUGCAAGACAAAAUAAGAUCCACUAUAUUAAGAAGUAAAGUUCAUGCAUACACCAAAAUCCAUCCAAAUAAAAUCAAAAAUUCUUUGAAUUUUUAGUAUACCACAUACACCACUAGCACGCAAAUAACUUUAACUAAUUCCUCUAAGCUGCAAAAUAUCUCAACUAAUCAGGAUGACCUCCAACUCACAAACCUCCAAUCUGACCAAAGAAUCACCGCCGGCCCCAAUAUCAAUCACCUCUUCUAUCCCGGUGGGAUCAUCUUUGGAAUUCUUCCCUCCUGUACUAGAGGGGUCAUCUUUAGUCUCUUCACAUAUACACGCAGCAGGGUUGGCAUAGAAUUUUCCUUUUGUAUGGAAACAUGGAAAGAGCGCAUUGAGGGCUUGUAUGGAAAUAUGGAAUCAACUCAUCUUUGCUUGCGAACUACUCCCUCCGUCCCAUAAUGUAAGAUGUUUUUUCAUACUAGUGUAGUGUCAAAAGGCGUCUUACAUUAUGGGACGGAGGGAAUAUCUAAGUAUUGAGAUGUGAAACUAUUCAUACAUGUAAGUUUUGCAUCGCAUGCAAACGACACCUUGCUCUCUCCUCUCCUUUCCUCCGCCCCAUAGUAACACCCUAAAGGCAAGCAUAUCACUUUCAAAUCUGCCAUAAAGCCAUGGAACACAUGUUGAUAAAAAAUAAAAGUAUAAAGAUGCAUGCUGUAAUAUUUUACAAACAAAAUAUUAUUUCACUUUCUUCUUUUCUUUUGAUUAAUUAGCCAAUUAGCCUUCAUAAAUUUGGUGCUCCAUUAUAUUUUAGAUAAAGAUAAGAGAACUCACUGGCUCUGAAAGGCAAUUAAAUGAUAAUCACUAAAUUGUACUGGCAUUUUCUGUACUUGGAUAAAUAAAAUUGGGAUAAUUGUUUCUGUGCCCUUAGUUGGGUCACCCUCAACUGAUUUGCCCCUAAUUUUGGAAAACACGCGGUCUUGCCCAGCUUUGACCGCUCCCCUUGCAUUUUUGCCCUUCCGGCACGUCUCCGUCCAGUCAGCGCCGUUUGACCGCAAACGACGCAUUACUUUGGACACCGCUUGCCCCCGUGCUCACUCACACCCCGUGCUCACUCACACUCUCUCAUUCCCUACUCUUGCUCCCUCUUUUUCCCUCUGACGAACCGUAAAUUGCGGCGACGAGCAGCAGACGGCCAGAUCCAUUGCAAGGUGAUGGGGGAGAGUGGAGAAAGCGUCGGCGGUGGCCUCUUCGGUGGUAGGAACAGCACACCUCCAUUGCAGCGCGGAGAAGGCGGCGGAGGCACCAACGACGAUAAGGGAAGCUCCUGUGGCGGAUCUGCACCAACGGCGAGAAGCGGUGGCGGAUCUGCACCAAUGGCGACAAGCGGGGGUGGAUCUGCACGGCAAAUUCCCCCAGGGUUAGUAUUGGACCUGAUUUGCUCGGUUUUUUCAUAGGAGAUUUACUUGGAUUUAGGGUUUAGUCUAAAGUUUGUGCGUUUUAUCACUGGAUAUUGUUCCCCCAUAGGAUGGAUCCAGCUACAGUGUUCUUUCUUUCAGUUCGAAUGGAGACCACUGUUCUAGUUUCUGCUGGUACAAAAGGAAAAGAUUGUGGAUUCACAUUUCCUUUAGUUGUGGACAACACUAGUUCAUAUACUAAUUUUAGGGCUGCCAUUUGUGCCAUGUAUCCAUGGGGAUUGUUUGAUGCUGUGGAGAUCAGAUAUUGGGAUAGUUCCAAACUUUGUUGGGUCCCUGUGCAGUGUGAUGCAGAGUUAGGUCUGAUGUUUGCAAGUAAUGCAGCAACUAUGUCAUGCAAUUUGGAAAUCAUAGUUAUACAAAGAACUAGAGGCCAGAGAUGUGUGAACACAUCUAGUUCCAGGCCAUCUGGAUCCAGAACUAGGGCUAGCAGUAGAACACCAAGUGCUCCUAGAACACCAAGUGCUUAUGCAACUGCAAGUGUCAAUGAAAGUCAAGAAAACCAAAAGAAGCCACUUGAUCCUGUUGUGGAGGAGGCAUUGCCUGAUGCACCUGGUGUGGAGGAUGAGGUUCUAUAUCCUGGAUAUGUCCAGCACAAUAAUGAUGAAGGAGAUGCAGCAGAUAAAGAGUACAUUCCUGCAGAAUUUUCAGAUGCAGAUGAUGAUGAGAAGCAAGAGGAUGUUGAGAUGGGAGUUUUUGAAGAUGCAGAAGAGGACAAACCUGUAAAGAUGUAUGACAGGGAAAAUCCAUGUAUUGAUGAAGGUGUGGUAUUCUCUAGUGCAGUUGACUGCAGAAAUGCAGUUGCAAGCUUCUCAAUCAAGCCUGAAACUGAGUUCCUUACUCUGAAAAGUGAUCCAACAAGGUUUACUGUCAAAUGUGCUUAUGAGAGAUGCAAGUGGAGACUGCAUGCCUCUUUAAUGAGGAAGAGCACAUUGUUUCAGGUAUUGUAUUUUUGUCCUUUUGUUUUAGUUUAUUUUCAGGCAUUGCAUUUUCUGUGUUUUAGUUUAUUUGCAGGUAUUGCAUUUUCUGUACUAAUCUCAUUGUUUUUUUGGUUUGUUUCAGAUUAAAGUCAACCCAUAUAAGCAUACAUGUCCUAGUGUGAAUAGAUCUCAGAGAUUGAGAGCUGCAAAAAGAAGAUGGAUAGCAGAUGCUUCUAUGGCAUGGAUCAGAGCAAAUCCAGGAAUUGGUACUAAAGAAAUUCAGAGCAAGUUGUUAGAGAAAUAUGGUGUGGAGGUGCCAUAUGACAGAUGCUACCAUGGCAAAGAGAUUGCACUUGACAAACUAUAUGGAAAGUAUAGUGAUAGCUUUCAGCUAUUAUAUACUUUCAAAGCUGAAGUAGAGAGGGCAUCACCAGGCAGUAUUAUGGAAAUUGAGAAGCACACAGUUGAGUACAAGUUUAAUAACAAGAAGUUCUACAAGGAGUGCUUUAGAAGGGUGUUUGUGUGCUUCAAAGCAUGUCAAAAAGGUUUUCUGGAGGGGUGUAGGCCAUACCUAGCUGUAGAUGCUACUACAUUGACUGGUAGGUUCAAAGGGCAACUUGUGGCAGCAUGUGCCCUAGAUGGACACAACUAGUUGUUUCCUGUUGCAUAUGGUGUUUUGGAAGGGGAGUCAAUUGAGAGUUGGACUUGGUUUUUUAGCAACCUAAAGAAAGUAAUAGGUCAUCCAGAAGGUUUAGUGAUACAUACUGAUGCUUGCAAGGGAUUGGAAACUGCUGUUGAGGAUGUAUACCCUGGAGUGGAGCACAGAGAGUGCAUGAGGCACUUGGCCCAAAAUUUCAGUAAGAAAUUCAAGGGGAAGUUUUAUGAUGAUAAUUUGUGUCCAUGCUCACUAACUUGUAGCAUCAAGAAACACAACUAUCACUUGAACCAGUUGAAAAGCAAGCCUAAAGUAAAGGAAUAUCUGGUGGAACACCACACAAAAAUAUGGGCAAGAGCUGAUUUCAAUGAGAUGAGCAAAGUUAACUAUGUCAAUAACAACCUAGCUGAGUCAUUCAACUCCAGAAUCAAAAAAUACAAGAGCCUGCACAUAGUUGAUCUGCUAGACAAGAUAAGGCAGUAUAUCAUGGAGAAAUUUGACUUAAGAAACAUAAUUGCCUCUGACCAUUUCAUUGGGCACUACAUCAUACCAGCAGUAAUGAAGGUGUUAAUGGAGAAAACAAAAGGUUUGCAAAUGAGUAUAGUGAGGAGAAGCCCAACAGAGGCAGAGGUGACUGCUACUGACAGUGAGAAGAGAGAAUGGAGGUACCCUGUUGACUUAGAGCACUGGUCUUGCAGUUGCAGACAAUGGCAGAUCACUGGUAAACCAUGCAUCCAUGCACUUUUCUUUAUCACUGCUCUAAGAGGUGAAGCAAGUGGAAUAGAUCAAUAUGUCCACAAAUAUUACUCAGUUGACAUGUUCAGAGCUACUUAUGCUGAGAACCUACCAGCUCUAGAAGGCAAGCAACAAUGGGACAUUAUAGAUCCUGGAUUCAAAUUGUGUGCUCAUGUUCAACACAGAGCUCCAGGUAGACCAAGAAAGCAAAGGAUUAGAAGUAGCACUGAAGGAAAAGGCCUUGGUCCUAGGAAGAACAAGUGCGAAAGGUGUGGGAGAUGUGGACACAAAGCCAAGGGAUGCAAACAAUCUGUUGAUCCAGCCUUUGGAGAAGAUGAACAUUGGGGAGCAGACAAUGCAGAUGAUCAUCCUACAGCCAAUGAACCAGCAGAAGCAGAAAUACAAGAGGAGGAGGAGGAGGAGGAGGAUGAGACAGCACCUGAUGUUCUGCAGCAGCAGAUGCCACCACCAAAGGAGCCCUCACAUGAUGCAUCUACAUGAGCUAGUUGUGCAGUCAGGUAUAAGAUCUUGGCUUACAAAUUCUUACAUGUUUUGAUCUUACUGCUUUCUUUAUAAAAUCUUUCAAAUUGUGAUAUGCUUCCACUUGUUUUAGCCCUAGGAAAAAUUAUAAAAGGGCAGCAGCAAGAGGAGCUUCUCCCAGGUGUGUCAAGCAGAAAGCAGUUGUGGAACAGGAGCAAGAAAGCAGUGUUCAAAGCAAAGGUUUCUCUCCAAAAAGAGCAGCAGCAAUUGAAGCUCCAAACCCAUCAAAGAACACUAGAAGCAAGGCAAUGCUAGCUCCAAACCCAGCCAAGAACACCAGGAGCAAGAAACUUAAGUUCUAGUGCUAUGUUAUCUUGUUGUUAUGCACUUAAGUUCUAGUACUAAGUGUGCUUAAAUGCACUAUGAAGUUGCUAUAUUUGGUACAAUGUCAGUUUGUUGAAUUUGGUACAAUGUCAGUUUGUUCUAUUUGGUACAAUGUCAAUUUGUUGAAUAUGUGCUCUAUUUGGUACAAUUGGCACCUGAUUGAAUAUGUGCUCUAUUUGGUAAAAUAUGUGCUCUUUUUGGUACAAUUGGCACUACAUAUGGAAUAAAUAUGUAUUUGGUACAGUGUCACAAGCAUCAGUAGUUCAUAAUGAUCUUCAAAUUUAGCAUAUAAAAGUGCAUCAUAAAUAACAUUCAACACAUCUCUCUCACACACACUUUCUUCAACAACUGCUAGAAACUAGAACACAAAAAACACAGCAACACACAUUCCUACAAACAACAAUGCCAGAACUAGCAGCAUCUCAUCUCUCUCUCACACUGUCUUCUUCAAAGCUAGAUUUUUCUUUGACAGCUCCAUGUUUUGCUUCUGCAUUUUGUGGCUUCUGAUCCAACUUUGUUCUAGCUCUGCGUGCAGGUCUUCAAAAGCAAGGGCAGCAUGCAAUGGAGGAGGAGGAUCAACCCAAACGACCCAGUGACACUCAUGUGAUAACUGCUUGAACAUCAAAUUAACAAAACAUUAGAGACUGCAUAAACACCAUCUUAAACAUGGUAUAAUUCACAAGAUCUUACAUCUAGAGGACACCCUAAAAAAUGGCGGCCAGUGUUAGCUCCUCCCCACGUGACACGCCGGGCAGGAACAAGGCCAUGACCAGGGCAACGAUGCUUUGAUAAAAGCUCCAAUCCGCAAUAACUUUCAUCUAGAAGAUAGAACUCGGAGACAUGCUUCACAAUCCCGACCCCAUCAACCUAAAUCAGAAAUUUCCCCAAUUAUCACAAACCCUAGAACGCAUUGGGGGGGAGGAAGAAGCAUUGUCGGAGUUUUACUUACCUCUCCGACCACCGGCGAGAAGAUGGAAGAGCCCGAGCUUGCCAUGCGUCGCCGCUCCUUGCUCUACCACGCCACGCCUUGCCUCCCACUCCUUUUUCCUCGCCGGCGUUCUCGCUCUCCUAUGUUUUCUUGCGCUAGCACAUUUCGGAUGAAGGGGUAUCAGGUAUAGCACCGACAGGGGCAAUGUCCAAAGUAACGCGUCAUUUGCGGUCAAACGGCACUGACUGGACGGAGAGGUGCCGGAAGGGCAAAAACGCAAGGGGAGCAGUCAAAGCUGGGCAAGACCGCGUGUUUUCCAAAAUUAGGGGCAAAUCAGUCGAGGGUGACCCAACUAAGGGUAUAAAUUCAAUUCUCCCAAUAAAAUUCAUGCUUCAUUCCUUCCAGAAGAAUGAAGUGGGGAAUAUCCUCAACUAGAAAUGUCAAAGCAAUGUUUCUCAGUGGGAAAAAAUUGGGGUGCUAAUAAAAAACAAUAGACGGCCACAAGCAACAUACGAGAAGAAACUAAAUACUGAGACAGAGUCCAUGUCUCUUCUAUUUUUCGAUGAACUAAUAAGUCAUAUCAUGGUAUGAAGUGAGUCAUGCACAACCACAUCAGCCAUGCUACAUUUUCCAAUGAAAUGUCAGUUUUGUCCACAGAUACAAACUGCGCAAGUUGCAUGCAGCCUUCUACAAAUUACUUGCAAAUGUACAAGGGUAACUUACUUUUUAUCCUUGUUAGCUUAAAAAGGACACCACAGCUUCACUAUGACUCUCAUACAAGCUAAGCUUCACAACAAUUUCUCCAACAGCAUAGUAUGUGUCACCUCAGCAGCUUGGAUAUCUAAUGAGGACAGAAAGGAAGCAUCAGGCAACCAAAACAAAAGAAUGACACCUCUGCAGCUUCAGAAUUAAUUAGUACCAAUUAAACAAAGACAUAGAGCAUCAUGCCUACCUUUUGUUCUAGAUGGUAUGCCCCUUUUUGACUAUAUAUAUGCUAGCUAGCUUUUGCCGGUCUCAAAAAGAAGCAUCAAGCAUUCAGGCAGUCACAUGCAUAUUUCUCAUAAAUUGUGGAGCAUUAAUGUUUCUGUAUCUUUUGAUACAUAUACAUGGAGUUUAAUUUUCUCCUGUUAUCAAAUACGCAGUGAAAAACUACCGACGUACAACUACUAAUUAUAUGAGAAAAUCAUCAUCCAACCUAAUAGCUACAAAUUACAAGUAAGCAAUCCAUCAUGUUUAAUUAAACACAGGUAGACAUGUCAUCAUACUUGAUUAACCCUAUUUAAUUUGUUUCUCCCAUGUAGCAAGUAGAGAGCCUACACUGGAAUAGGGGUUCUCUCCUAAAAAAUGAUGCAGCCGCCAUUAGGAAAGAGGAACAACUAAUUAAGCACCCUCCAAUUAAAUUUCACUUUAUCUUCUUUCCAUGAGAAAUUAAUUGAUUAAAGAGGGACGAUUAAUUUAUUAGUCCAGUUCAUCAAAAGUCAGUAAGACUAAAAGAAAGGAAGGGACGAUUAAUCUAAAGCAGAGAAGAGACAGAGCUACCACCUUUGGCUGGAUCAAAGAAGAUAACCUUGUGUUUUCCUCCUCAGGAGCCUUGUGCCACUUCUCUUUUAUUUGAUAAGAAUCCCAUUGCCACCCAGCUUCUUCUAAUCUCCCUCGUCAGCAGUUCCUUUCAGCAUCCCGUUGUCCAGAGUCAAGCUAAUUAAAUUUCUAUCAAUCUCAGAGCUUAGAAAGCAUAAAUGUGCAGACGCCUAAAUAAAGAGACGGAGGAGGAACUUUUACAAUCCAAUUUGUAAGCAUCAAUCUCCAAGAAGGAAGAAAUCAAGGGAGAACCAGACCAAGGAGAUUUUUUUACUAGGUUAGAGAGAGAGUAGACCAUACGGAGGAUGGCAGUCACCGCUGUCUUCUUGUCGUUGGCGCCUUCUCCGACAGAGGAGGGCUGGAUUUGCAGUGGCCGGCGCCGCCGCAGCCCAAAUCGCCGUCCCCGC
rnacentral:lncRNA from 1 species